GACGAACGCUGGCGGCGUGCUUAACACAUGCAAGUCGAACGGAAAGGCCCUGCUUUUGUGGGGUGCUCGAGUGGCGAACGGGUGAGUAACACGUGAGUAACCUGCCCUUGACUUUGGGAUAACUUCAGGAAACUGGGGCUAAUACCGGAUAGGAGCUCCUGCUGCAUGGUGGGGGUUGGAAAGUUUCGGCGGUUGGGGAUGGACUCGCGGCUUAUCAGCUUGUUGGUGGGGUAGUGGCUUACAAAGGCUUUGACGGGUAGCCGGCCUGAGAGGGUGACCGGCCACAUUGGGACUGAGAUACGGCCCAGACUCCUACGGGAGGCAGCAGGGGGGAAUAUUGCACAAUGGGCGGAAGCCUGAUGCAGCGACGCCGCGUGCGGGAUGACGGCCUUCGGGUUGUAAACCGCUUUCGCCUGUGACGAAGCGUGAGUGACGGUAAUGGGUAAAGAAGCACCGGCUAACUACGUG
rnacentral:rRNA from 1 species